rnacentral:lncRNA from 1 species
UACCAAUUGUUAUAAAACAAUGAUAAACCCAUUUGUUGGAUGACAUAUCAAGUGUACCAAAAGUUAUUUUAUUAAUAGUGAUACAAAUUGUUAUUUUUAGUAGAGCAUAUUACAACCGAGUGUUGACUGUUAACAGAUCAACCAUACAUCGAAUUUUGAAGAACAUACCAACCAUUAUCCAGACCAAAGGAUGUGUUCAUCAAGAGACGAUUUUUAACAGAAGGAUUUUUGUCAAUCGUUAGAAACAUGAGACAUCUCAAUUAUUUUUUCAAAACUGAGGAUAGCAUUCAUAAAAAACGUGAGUGAAAACUUUUUGAAGGAUAUGCUGAUAGAUAAUACACACCACACAGUAUACUAACAGUUAUUUAAACCACAGAUAGCAA